rnacentral:RNase_P_RNA from 1 species
AAAGCAAACCGGCUUGUCGCUGUCUGUCUUUGACAGAGAGAGGAAAGUCCGGGCAGCAUAGAGCAUCAUGCUUCCUAACAGGAAGGUGUCGCGCCAGGCGCGAUAACAGAAAGUGCCACAGAAAACAAACCGCCACGCUUUGUCGUGGUAAGGGUGAAAAGGUGGGGUAAGAGCCCACCGUACUGACGGUGACGUUAGUAGCAAGGUAAACCUCAUGAGCUGAAAUAUCAUGUAAACCGGGGCUUGAGGCUUGCUCGGCUAACUCGGAGGGUAGAUAGAUUGAUCAUGUGAGUGAUUGCAUGACUAGAUAAAUGACAGGCAACUCCUCCUUCGGGAAGGGUGUACAGAACCCGGCUUAUAGGUUUGCUUUUAUU